UACGUAGGGUCCGAGCGUUGUCCGGAAUUACUGGGCGUAAAGAGCUCGUAGGUGGUUUGUCGCGUUGUUCGUGAAAACUCACAGCUCAACUGUGGGCGUGCGGGGCGAUACGGGCAGACUGGAGUACUGCAGGGGAGACUGGGAAUUCCUGGUGUAGCGGUGGAAUGCGCAGAUAUCAGGGAGGGAAACACCCGGUGGCGAAGGCGGGUCUCUGGACAGUUCCUGACGGCUGAGGCACGAAGGUCAGGGGGGGCAAACGGG
rnacentral:rRNA from 1 species